AUUGAACGCUGGCGGCAGGCCUAACACAUGCAAGUCGAGCGGAUGAAGGGAGCUUGCUCCUGGAUUCAGCGGCGGACGGGUGAGUAAUGCCUAGGAAUCUGCCUGGUAGUGGGGGAUAACGUCCGGAAACGGGCGCUAAUACCGCAUACGUCCUGAUGGAGAAAGUGGGGGAUCUUCGGACCUCACGCUAUCAGAUGAGCCUAGGUCGGAUUAGCUAGUUGGUGGGGUAAAGGCCUACCAAGGCGACGAUCCGUAACUGGUCUGAGAGGAUGAUCAGUCACACUGGAACUGAGACACGGUCCAGACUCCUACGGGAGGCAGCAGUGGGGAAUAUUGGACAGUGGGCGAAAGCCUGAUACAGCCAUGCCGCGUGUGUGAAGAAGGUCUUCGGAUUGUAAAGCACUUUAAGUUGGGAGGAAGGGCAGUAAGUUAAUACCUUGCUGUUUUGACGUUACCAACAGAAUAAGCACCGGCUAACUUCGUG
rnacentral:rRNA from 1 species